rnacentral:rRNA from 1 species
GACGAACGCUGGCGGCGUGCUUAACACAUGCAAGUCGAACGGAAAGGCCCUGCUCUUGUGGGGUGCUCGAGUGGCGAACGGGUGAGUAACACGCGUGUAACCUGCACUUGACUUUGGGAUAAAUUCAGGAAACUGGGGCUCAUACCGGAUAGGAGCUCCUGCUGCAUAGUGGGGGAUGGAAAGAUUCGGCGGUUGGGGAUGGACUCGCGGCUUAUCCGCUUGUUGGUGGGGUAGUGGCUUACCAAGCCUAUGACGGGUAGCCGGCCUGAGAGGGUGAACGGCGACAUGGGGACUGAGAGAGGGCCCAGAAUCCUACGGGAGGCAGCAGGGGGGAAUAUUGCACAAUGGGCGGGAGCCUGAGGCAGCAACGCCGCGUGCGGGAUGACGGCCUUCGGGUUGUAAACCGCUUUCGCCUGUGACGAAGCGUGAGUGACGGUAAUGGGUAAAGAAGCACCGGCUAACUACGUG